CCUACGGGGGGCUGCAGUGGGGAAUAUUGCACAAUGGGGGAAACCCUGAUGCAGCGACGCCGCGUGAGUGAAGAAGUAUUUCGGUACGUAAAGCACUAUCAGCAGGGAAGAAAAUGACGGUACCUGACUAAGAAGCCCCGGCUAACUACGUGCCAGCAGCCGCGGUAAUACGUAGGGGGCAAGCGUUAUCCGGAUUUACUGGGUGUAAAGGGAGCGUAGACGGCAGCGCAAGUCUGGAGUGAAAUCCCAUGGCUUAACCAUGGAACUGCUUUGGAAAAUGUGCAGCUAGAGUGCAGGAGAGGUAAGCGGAAUUCCUAGUGUAGCGGUGAAAUGCGUAGAUAUUAGGAGGAACACCAGUGGCGAAGGCGGCUUACUGGACUGUAACUGACGUUGAGGCUCGAAAGCGUGGGGAGCAAACAGGAUUAGAUACCCCUGUAGUC
rnacentral:rRNA from 1 species